rnacentral:rRNA from 1 species
GACGAACGCUGGCGGCGUGCUUAACACAUGCAAGUCGAGCGGAGCGGCUAACGGGUGAGUAACGCGUUAGUACCUGCCCCCCUCCCUGGGAUAACAGUUGGAAACGGGUGCUAAUACCGGAUAGUGGGGGAUGCCUCGCGUCCUCACUGCUUGUUGGUGGGGUAGUGGCCUACCAAGGCGACGACGGGUAGCCGGCCUGGGAGGGCGACCGGCCACAUUGGGCUGAGAUACGGCCCAAGCUCCUACGGGCGGCAGGAGUGGAGAUUAUGGCACGCUUGGGGAAGCCCUGAUUCAGCAAUCCGCGUGCGGAAUGUCGGCCUUCGGGUUGUAAACCGCUUUCAGCCAUGACGCGGUAGUGGCAGAAGAAGCACCGGCUAACUACGUGCCAGCAGCCGCGGUAAUAC